AAAUUUCUCUCUCUUCCUCUCUCUCUCGUGUGACCUUUCCCCAUCUCCUUCCUUAUUCUUUUUUUUCUUUCCUCUUCUUCUCCUACUUCAUUCCCAUACCCUAGCCUCCAUAGCCUCCCUCAUCUUUCUUUUUCUUUUCCUUUUCUUUUCUUUUCAGAUCUGCAACCGACCGCCGAUCGCCUCGGUCGUCAUCGUCGGUUGGUGUUGUCGGCGCUGCAUGACCCUCUGCCCAGCGCCGUGUGACCCUCUGCCCAGCCCCGCCGCGCGACCCUUGUUUUCCAGCCGCCGCGUGACCCCCUGCCUUCCAGUUGUGUGUUCCAAGUCGCCCCAUACUCCAAUCUUUCUUGCAAUCUUGUUUCGUUUGGUUCGUGCGUCGUGGCCUCUGUUUCAUCGUAAACUGACAAAGUGGUAUUGAAGGUAGCGCUUAAAUCCCUUAGACGCACAACACAUUUUAGAUCUUGGUUGAAGUUCGAUUUCGCUAAUACUCAAGAUAUUUUUCGUGGACCUUAAUUGAUUAAGGAGCUUCCCUAACUCGAGAACACUAGACUGAAAUGUACGUCUCUCGGGGCGUUAGACUGAAAUGUGCAUCCUACAGGAUCACAAGACUGCGACUGUACAAGGCAAAGUAAUAAAGGCGACAAACCGGCGAGGGGCAGGAAGGAAGCGUGACCGCCACAUGGGACACUUUAAAAUUUUGCUUCCCCUUAGUGAUUUAUAGUAUUAUUUGUAUUCGAACGUGAGACUGUUUAGAAAAUUUUGAGGUUUUAUGGUAUUCAAAGAUUUGAAA